CGGGCUGGGAUCCGCGCGGGGAUCCGGCCGGUGCCUGCCCUGCGAUCCGCGCGGGAUUUACCGCUGCUCCGCCCGGGCUCUGCUCCCGAUCUGCCCGGAAUGUGCCCGGUGUCUGUGGGGGAUCCCCGGGGAUGUGCCCGCAAGAAAGGAGAUCCGACCGUGGGGCAGGCAGCAGUCAGCAUCCCUUACUCAAGGAGAUCCUGGAAAUAAUGAGCAUUAAGAUGUAAUAAAUUUGGAUUUUGGUCCGAA